rnacentral:tRNA from 1 species
UUGACUAAAGCCAAAAAGAGGCCAAUCACUGUUACUGAUUUUAUUGGGGCUUCCUAGUCGUU